rnacentral:rRNA from 1 species
AGUCACUGACAUUAGAUACCCGUGUAGUCCAGGGUGUAAACGCUGCAGACUUGGUGUUGGAAGCCCUUUGGGGGCAUUCAGUGCCGGAGAGAAGUUGUUAAGUCUGCUACUUGGGGAGUACGUCCGCAAGGAUGAAACUUAAAGGAAUUGGCGGGGGAGCACCGCAACGGGAGGAGCGUGCGGUUUAAUUGGAUUCAACACCGUAAAACUCACCAGGGAAGACUGUUACAUGAAGGCCGAGAUGAAGACUCUGCUAGGUUUUCAG